rnacentral:rRNA from 1 species
AUUGAACGCUGGCGGCAGGCCUAACACAUGCAAGUCGAACGAGUGGCGGACGGGUGAGUAAUGUCUGGGAAACUGCCUGAUGGAGGGGGAUAACUACUGGAAACGGUAGCUAAUACCGCAUACUAUCAGAUGUGCCCAGACUGGAUUAGCUAGUGGGUGGGGUAACGGCUCACCUAGGCGACGAUCCCUAGCUGGUCUGAGGGGAUGACCGGCCACACUGGAACUGAGACACGGUCCAGACUCCUACGAGAGGCAGCAGUGGGGAAUAUUGCAGAAUGGGCGCAAGCCUGCUGCAGCCAUGCCGCGUGUAUGAAGAAGGCCUUCGGGUUGUAAAGUACUUUCAGCGGGGAGGCGUUACCCGCAGAAGAAGCACCGGCUAACUCCGUGCCAGCCGCCGCGGUAAUUC